GAUCAUGGCUCAGGAUGAACGCUAGCUACAGGCUUAACACAUGCAAGUCGAGGGGCAGCAUGAACUUAGCUUGCUAAGUUUGAUGGCGACCGGCGCACGGGUGAGUAACACGUAUCCAACCUGCCGAUGACUCGGGGAUGGCCUUUCGAAAGAAAGAUUAAUACCCGAUGGCAUAGUUCUUCCGCAUGGUGGAACUAUUAAAGAAUUUCGGCCAUCGAUGGGGAUGCGUUCCAUUAGG
rnacentral:rRNA from 1 species